ACCUACGGGGGGCAGCAGUGGGGAAUAUUGCACAAUGGGGGAAACCCUGGUGCAGCAACGCCGCGUGAAGGAAGACGGUUUUCGGAUUGUAAACUUCUGUUCUUAGUGAAGAAGAAUGACGGUAGCUAAGAAGCCCCGGCUAACUACGUGCCAGCAGCCGCGGUAAUACGUAGGGGGCAAGCGUUAUCCGGAUUUACUGGGUGUAAAGGGAGCGUAGACGGCAGCGCAAGUCUGAAGUGAAAUCCCAUGGCUUAACCAUGGAACUGCUUUGGAAACUGUGCAGCUGGAGUGCAGGAGAGGGAAGG
rnacentral:rRNA from 1 species